CCUACGGGUGGCAGCAGUGGGGAAUAUUGGGCAAUGGGCGCAAGCCUGACCCAGCAACGCCGCGUGAAGGAAGAAGGCUUUCGGGUUGUAAACUUCUUUUCUGGGGGACGAACAAAUGACGGUACCCCCGGAAUAAGCCACGGCUAACUACGUGCCAGCAGCCGCGGUCAUACGUAGGUGGCAAGCGUUACCCGGAUUUAUUGGGUUUAAAGGGCGUGUAGGCGGGAAUGCAAGUCAGAUGUGAAAACUAUGGGCGCAACCCAUAGCCUGCAUUUGAAACUGUAUUUCUUGAGUGCGGGAGAGGCAAGCGGAAUGCGGGGUGUAGCGGUGAAAUGCGUAGAUAUACGGAAGAACACCAGUGGCGAAGGCGGAUUGCUGGACAGUAACUGACGCUGAGGCGCGAAAGCGUGGGGAGCGAACAGGAUUAGAUACCCUUGUAGUC
rnacentral:rRNA from 1 species